CUCAGCGAGUCUCGUGUCCGCCCGCAGAUACCCAGCGCGCCCUGCGCCUCCUGCAGGAGUACCGCUCCAAGCUGAGCCAGGCGGAGGACCGGCAGCUGCGGAACUCCAUCGAGCGGGUCAUCGGCAUCUUCCAGAGCAACCUCUUCCAGGCGCUGAUCGAUAUUCAAGAAUUUUAUGAAGUGACCUUACUCGACAAUCCAAAAUGCAUUGAUCAUUCUCAGCCAUCUGAACCAAUACAGCCUGUGAACACCUGGGACUUCUCCAGCCUUCCAAGCACAACAGUGACAUCAGAAACACUGCCAAGCAGCCUUAGCCCAAGUGUAGAGAUUCCAGGACAGAACUGAA